GACGAACGCUGGCGGCGUGCUUAACACAUGCAAGUCGAACGGAAAGGCCUCUUUCGGGGGGUACUCGAGUGGCGAACGGGUGAGUAACACGUGAGUAACCUGCCCUUGACUUUCGGAUAACUUCAGGAAACUGGGGCUAAUACCGGAUAGGAGCUCCUGCUGCAUGGUGGGGGUUGGAAAGUUUCGGCGGUUGGGGAUGGACUCGCGGCUUAUCAGCUUGUUGGUGGGGUAGUGGCUUACCAAGGCUUUGACGGGUAGCCGGCCUGAGAGGGUGACCGGCCACAUUGGGACUGAGAUACGGCCCAGACUCCUACGGGAGGCAGCAGUGGGGAAUAUUGCACAAGGGGUGGAAGCCUGAUGCAGCAACGCCGUGUGCGGGAGGACGGCCUUCGGGUUGUAAACCGCUUUCGCUCAUGACGAAGCUUUGUGUGACGGUAGUGGGUAAAGAAGCACCGGCUAACUACGUG
rnacentral:rRNA from 1 species